rnacentral:lncRNA from 1 species
GGAGUAUCACCAUCCCAGAACAAAAGUGGGAGGGUCCUUGGAGAAACUGGAGCAAAGUUCCUAUUGGAAAUGUCAGCCUGUCUCCAUGGUGCUAAGAAAAGUAAGGAAAGAAAGUUUUCUCCAGACACACCAAUAUGAACUCCAUUAACAUGAGAUAGAAAACUAACUCAGAAACUUAGAAUCAGAACCUUAAAAUCAGAUCCUCAUUAUGGAAAAUUUCAAAUAUACACAAAAACAGUAGUCUCUUCCAUCUAGAUCCAGCAGUCCUGGUGGGUGAGACCUGAUUUAAUUAGAUUUAUUUUAAAAUUUAAAAUGUAUAUUUUAGGCUGGGCACAGUGGCUCAUGCCUGUUAUCUAAGAACUUUGGGAGGCUGAGGUGGGAGGAUUACUUGAAGCCGCCAGGAGUUUCAGACCAGCCCGGGCAACAAAACAAGACCCCAGUCUCUACAAAAAAAAUUUUUUUUAAAAAAUUAGCUGGGUGUGGUGGCAGUAGCUGUGGUGCCAGAUACUGGACAAGCUGAGGCAGAGGGUCCCUUGAGCCCAGGACUUUGAGGUGGCAGUGAGCCCUGAUCGCGCUGUCACAGGAUGCUUCGCAGUGAGCCCUGACCUCACUGUCAUGGGAUCCUUCGCAGUGAGCCCCGAUCCUGCUGUCACAGGAUCCUUUGCAGUCAACCCUGACCUCACUGUCACAGGAUCCUUCGCAGUGAGCCCUGACCGCGCUGUCACUGGAUCCUUUAUAGUGAGCCCUCAUCACAGUCACAGGAUCCUUCACAGUGAGCCCUGAUUGUGCUGUCACUGGAUCCUUCGCAGUGAGCCCUGACCAUGCUGUCACUGGAUCCUUUGUAGUGAGCCCUCAUCACAGUCACAGGAUCCUUCAGUGUUGACUUUGGUAUCGCUUCGCCAGUGGGAAACUUCUGUGGCCAGUGGCAUCUCUGCUUGAGUUUUGCUCGUGGCCGCUGAGCUCCUUCCACCUACUUGGUCUGGCAGGCUGUGCUUAGUUCACGCUACCAGCCCAGAUCCCCCACCUGCCAUGGGCAAGCCAAGUGCGGAGCAGAGAGGGGUGUGUGAGUGUGCAGGUAUGGGGUCUGGCCAGUGCACGUAGCCAGGCACACCAGCUGCUAUGGUGGGGUGGGCAGCUCCGGGCACGGGCACAGGUGCCAGCUCUGUGUGAAGCUGCAGCUGGACCUUCCACCACAGGCACCAGCAACUGGACGAGGGGAACGCAUUGGUGCCCAAAAGCUUGGAGAUGCCAGGAACCGCAGAGCCCCAAAGGGUGUUACAGCAUGUCACGGUCUUGGCUUGGGGAGGCCCACAGCUCUUCUCUCCUUCUCAUCACUUGCAGUGUGGCAAGUGGGGUUGGGGGUGUUUUGGGGUAGUAUUUCAGCCAGUUUGUGUCACAGUUCUUUCAGUCCCACCGCCCCGCUCUGGCCUGAAGCUCCUGGGCUAGUCUGGCCCUGCCUCCUGUCACUGCUGACAGAGGGCGGGAGGGCUAUAGUGUUACAGCUCUGGCUUGGGGAAUCCCAAGGUCUGGGCCUCAGAAAGGUUACCACUCUUAACUCCCACAGUCCAGACGCGUAUCACUGCCCACAGCCUGGUGAGCCAGCCAGCGAAGUGUUACAGCUCCUUUUGCUUCCACUGUGUGGUGGGUCCCAAGUUCCUGUCCUGUGUCCAGGAAGAAUGAGGCUACUCAGACAACUGGAGGGUGAGCAAGGCAGAGAAGAGCUUUAUUGGGUGACUGAACAGCUCUCAGCAGAGAGGAGACCCAAAGUGGGUAGCUCCUAUCCACAGGCAGGUAAUCCCAGAGUGUAUGAGUCUGGCUGAGUCCAGGGAUUUUUAUGGGCUCAGAAUGGAGGAAGUUCAUGCUAAUUGGUCCAUGGUGGGCCUGGAAGAAGCACCACUUGAUUGGCUGAAAGGCAUCAAGGAAGUUUUUUCACUCCGGGUAGCGGACUUCACUGGGACCUGGCAGCCUGGCCUCCAGGCUUCAGUCCAUCCUUGGCUUGAAGGUGGGGUUUCAUCUGGGACCCGUCCUUUCCUACCCAGAAACCUGUCUGCCUCCUGCCACCAUCAACACCAUUGCACUCCAGCCUGGGCAACAGAGCGGAGGCCUCAUCUCUUAAAAAAAAAGAAUAAAUAAAAUAAAAACAAAUAAAAAAUGUAUAUUUUAAAAAUAAAUACC